GAGAGGGAGUCUCCUUUCCUUGGAGGAGUCAGGGAAAACUCUGCUCCAGCAGCUUCUGGUGGGAGGCUGGAUAUUAUCCAGGCCUGCGCGCAGUCAUCCGGAGGCCUAAACCCCUCCCUGUGGUGCUGUGCUUCAAUGGUCACUCUCCUUGUCCACUUUCAUGUUCCUCCCAUACUCCUGGUUCCUCUUUGAAGUUCGUAGUAGAUAGCGGUAGCAGAAAUGGUGACAGUCUUAAAGUCUUUGAUCUUUCUUAUAAGUGCAUAGAAGAAAACACUGACCUAUGCUGCCUUCUCUCUGUGUGCUUUGGCUACCUAAGAAGGAAGGGCCACCUGUCCUGUGAUCAUGUGACUUGCUUCACCUUGUCAAUCACUUAGAAGAUUCACCCUCCUUACCCUGCCCCCUUGUCUUAUAUGCAAUAAAUAUCAGUGUGUCCAGCCGUUCAGGGCCACUACCAGUCUAUGCGUCUUAAUGGUAGUGGUCCCCGGGUCCAGCUCUUUUCUCUUAAUCGUUUUGUCUUGUGUCUUUAUUUAUUACAAUCUCUCAUCUCUGCACACCAGGAGAACACCCGCCAAGCUCCGUAGGGCUGGACCCUAUAUUUCUGUAAUAUGGAAAUAUUAAUAGUGGCAAGCCCACAUAGCUGCCACGAGGACUUCAUACAAUAAUGAAGGUAUGCGUUUUUGGACAUCCUUUUAUUGGAGAGCUGAAAGAGAAGGCUACCAUCUUUGGACGCCCUUUUACUGGAGAGCUGAAAGAGAAGGCUACUGAGAAGAUAUUUUUAAAGUUCUCACCAGGAUCCAAUGGCCCUAAGGAGACAAGUACAUUUGCUUGGAAAACUGGUCACCUAAUUCCCAAAAGGACAGAGCUAACAUUAUAUGUCUCAGCAUCCAGUCCAUCCUAGAUGGAUUUCGAUUCUAUCUAGGGAAUCUCAUCAAACAACCAGGGAGGAUCAACCACCAGAGAAAAGAAGAGACUGGGAGUCAUCACCAUGUCCCCAACAGAAUUUUCAUCUAUCCUUCUGAGGACAGCUCCAAGUGAUUACCUAGAGGACUUUGCUUCAUAAUAAGUCAACCUUCAUUCCUGUGCAGCCCCACCUCUCACCUUCCCAAAAUGUCUGCCUCCCAUCUUCUGGGUCCAUUCAUUCUCUCAAAUGAUUUGCUGCCCCUCAAAAGAAUUUUCCACGUUCCUCAUCUCUCCCCUCCCCUGGGAAAAAGCAUAUAUAAGCUUCUAUACCACCCUGGGUUAUUGGGUAAUCAUUCUCCAGCAAUUCUCCCAUCCUGUGCACAUCAAAUAAAUUCUGUAUGCGUUUUCUUUUAUUAAUGUGCUUUUUGUCUGUUGAUUUUCAGUGAGUCUUUAGAGGGCAAAGGGGAAAUUUUCUCCCUGCAAGAGUCUUAUUAUCCGAGUGUCUCUGCAAGCAGCACGUGGG
rnacentral:lncRNA from 1 species